AUUUAAGUAGUUUAUUUAGAAUAAUAAUUUGUGGAGUUAUAGGUGUAAUUUUAUCUUAAAUC
rnacentral:tRNA from 1 species